GCUUAGAGAGGGGUCAAUGUCCUAUCAGCUAGUUGGUAGGGUAAUGGCCUACCAAGGCUAAGACGGGUAGCCGGCCUGAGAGGGUGGUCGGCCACACUGGGACUGAGACACUGCCCAGACUCCUACGGGAGGCUGCAGUCGAGAAUCUUUCGCAAUGCCCGAAAGGGUGACGAAGCGACGCCGCGUGUGGGAAGAAGGCCUUCGGGUUGUAAACCACUGUCGGGAGUUAAGAAAUGUAAGGGUGUUAAUAGCAUCCUUACUUGACUAAGGCUCCGGAGGAAGCCACGGCUAACUCUGUGCCAGCAGCCGCGGUAAUACAGAGGCGGCAAGCGUUGUUCGGAAUUAUUGGGCGUAAAGAGCACGUAGGCGGCUUUGUAAGUCAGUUGUGAAAGCCUUCCGCUUAACGGAAGAACAGCAUCUGAUACUGCAAGGCUAGAGUGCGGA
rnacentral:rRNA from 1 species